rnacentral:lncRNA from 1 species
GAAGUUUUAGUAGUUUUUUAUUUGUGAAAACAGAAAAUAAAGCAUCUACAAUAAAUACAAAUAAUCUACAAUUUCUCUACAAAAUAUCUACAAACUGGGUACAUAUUUGGACUCGACAUGCUUCCCCUGAAAUGUAAGUUUCACAUUUUUUAUACAUAUUUUUGUCCAAAACAGUACUAAAUCAUCCACUUUAAUACAAUUUUUAUACAAUGUUGUUCAACUUUCAUACAAUAGGUAAAUGAAUAAAAGAAAAAUAAAUAAACAACAGUCUUACAAUUUUUCUACAAUUUUUCUAAAAUUUCUGCAAUAUAAUGUAUGUCAUGUCUUCUUCUUCUUCUUCUUCGAGUUUCAAUCUGAAAUUCAGUCAAAAUCAAGUCUAAUCUUCACCAAAACUCCUCAAAAUUGAGAUAUAAACUCCAAAUCACAUUUCCGAUUAUUUUCAACAACACCCAAUCCAAACAAAUAAUGAUUUUUGAAAACCCAAGUUUGAAUUCAAAGCUUUCAAGCUUUUUAAUGGCUAUCAAUGGUGGAAUUGCUGCUCUCUUUUCAUUUGCUUUGUAUUACUAAAAUUUGGGAUUGAGAGAUAGAGAGAGAUGUAGAGAGAAAUCUGGAACCAGAGUGUAUCGCAAAAACAGAGUAUGAAAAAUCUUAUUCUGCGUUGUGGAAGAUCAGAGUGAAGCCGACGAUAAUUAUGGAAUGUGCGUGAUCUACGUUUGUGGAAGAUCUUUAAGAAUAUUUAAUUCCCCAAUUUUAGCGCGCCUAAAUAAGGAAUCCUACAGCUACAAUGAUUCCUUAUUUAAUGCAUUGUCUAUAUUUUAUAGGAAUACUAUUAGCAUGAAGGGUAAUAUACAAACUAUGAACAUAUUUGGUAAUAUAGUUUCCUAUAUGGUAUAAGAACGAAAAUUUCCCUUCUCUAUUUUCUUUUUAAAUUAACCUUAUUUUAUAAUGACCCCACUUAUCUUCAUACUUCUUUCUUCUUCAAGUUUCACCAUUGAUGAAAAGCAACAACUAAAAAGUUUCUUCCAAAUUACAACAAAUGGAAAAAACAUAAAAUAAGCACACAACUUCAUCCAAUAUAUACUAUCACAAUUGCUUAUACAAUCAAUCACAAGCAUUACCAUAAUAAUUAAUUGGAUAAAUUAAAUUUCACAUCAUUAAGUUAGAAGAAUCAUGUCUGAGAUGAAAUUUACCACCAUAAACUUUAUGACUGAACUCUGCCACCAUAACCUCAGUCGCCGCCACCAACAGAGACAUCACCUCAGGCGACAAAGAUGUUUGAGGCUCCUUCACGGCAAAAGUUAAGACCAAGAUCCAAUAAUUUUUUUAUGGAUCUUUACUGCUGGAGUUUUUCAAGAGAAAUUUUUUUAAGAAAGAAAUAAAUGAAAGGCGAAAGGUAGCAGUCGACAACCGAAAAACUUUUGAUAUAAUCAUUCUUCUUUAGAUUUGGAGUGGAACGGCUCUGUCCAUCAUAUUUUGGCUAAGAGGUCAAAUGAAGAUGAAGUAAAGAAUUGCAUUUUGGGGAAGAAGAAGUAAAGGAAAGAAAAGAAUUGCAGCAAUUUUCGGGAAAGCUUGAAAGAAGAUGAAGAAGAAAAGGCAUAUGAAAGGUGCGAUGGUCACAUGGAAAGGUAGGGGAAAGAUGCGAUGAUUUUCUACUUGGGGUUCUACUUUUGGGAAGAUCACAGUGAAAGAAGGUGUGGGGCGUAAGGAAGAAGAAUAGGUGAGCGGUUUUUUUUUUGGGGGGAGGGGGGGGGGGGGGGGUCGACGGCCUAGUUGGAAAUAAGGAAAAAGGUAUUAUUUUCUUAUUAAUUAUACGUGUCAAAUAUUUUAAUUAAAAAUUACACUUGUCAUUCUUUAAUUGGUUUAUUGACACAUCACCAGCAAGUGUAACUCACGCAUAUGGUCUGCUCCACUCGAAUGUUUACUUGAUACACUUAAUAGUCAUUUGAAGUGCCUAAAUAGUAAAUGGGUCAAUUAAGGUGUCCAUCUGACCGUUGAGGACAACUUGAUGGGGUUGUUUAUGUAUUUUGCCAUAUUAGUAAAUAAGCCCUAUACUAUUAUACAUUAUAAGGGCAACUAAAAUGCACCACAUUAAAAAAUGCAUCAAUUCACAAUUUUUAACUUCCAGACAUUGUAUAUCACUACAACAAGGAUAAAAAAAAUGUAAAAGAACAAAAAAAUACGAUUUUUGAUGCUUCAAGAUAUCAUGAAAUUUUAUAACAGAAGGGAUAGACAAGAACAGGUUAGUCAUCAAUAUAGCAUUUGGUUUGUGGUUCCCUUCAUAUUAGUACUGCCUCAAAAUAUUGAGGAUUAUGAAUAAUAUGCAUUUUAAACUAAUCUCUACACUAUGUUUUCUAACAGGAGCACCUCAAGUAAAAGUUAAGGCAUAUUUGUCGAAGCAGAACAUUAUUCAUAGAUAGAGAUCUUAACCAUAUAAAAUAACUUUCUAAUAUCAUGGCAACUAAAUUCUAGAGAAAGCAAGAAAGAGCAACAGACAUAAGAUUCACAAGUCAACAUGUGCAUAUUUAACUUAUAAUCUCGACUAAGCAAUCGAGUUAUUCCUAAAAUAAGGAUCACAAUGACGCAGACACUUAGUAAACAAGAGUGGUAAGUAUUCUCCUUUUUUAUGGUCUUUGAAAUUCAACCAGAUUCCUAGAAAAUUAAUUUCUAGUUUACGAUGAAAGACAAACUCAUUCAAUAGCGAGAAAAUUUAAGGAAAAAGAUAGAAGACCCUUUUAGUCAUUCAGCUAAUUAGACUGAUUCCUUAUGUAAAAGUUCCAUCUUUAUUCAAAGGGCUAAAAUCAGUAUUCACAAGUUCAUCACAUCACCUCUAAAGAUAUGCUUUUCUAGAGAAGAGUAAAAGUAGCAAUCAAACUUAUAUCAAUACCUUUAGUUACUUAAAUCCACGCCUCUAAAAAUAUGUAUGAAAGAAGUCUUGAAUCAAGGUGUAUAAUUGUAGAAAUAAACAUCAACUUCUAUAGGUAUGGCAUCUAAACCUCCGAGGAAGGAAAAUCUAUAGUCAAGUUUUCUAACUCUCGAGGGCAAGAAAAGCGAAUACAUUCAUGCUUUAACAAAAUGCAACUUUUCAAUGUUUAACGGAGUAAGCAAUAAUUUAUCACCUAAAGAUUAUCCUCUUAAAGCAUACUCAAUAAAUAGAUUGCUUACACUCAUGUAUGAGCAUUUAUACUUCACAACAAAGAAGGGAUCUCAUUCCAUACUCCAUAAGUUGAAUUAAACUCCUAUGGACAUGUUGUUUAUUGGUGUAAUACAAAGAAAACCAAAUCUUCACUUUGCAAUGUUCAUUUAGCUAAAUCUGCUUUAAACGAAAUGUUAGGAGUCCUAAGCAUAAUGUCUAAGUGAAAGGGUCCUCAAUCACAAUUACCAAUGACAAAGUCUUUCAUAAAUUAUGACAUCUAACAGAAAAGUAUACAAAGAAAAAUAGAGUAUUAUUUUUUAUGAGCAUUUUAUCAAAUAUCAGGCAGACAUGUUUCAGUAACAUAUACCAGAACAUAACCUUCUUAAAAAAAUUAUUUCUAAUAACUUUAGUCAUAGGAUCAUUCCAUCAAACUAAAGGUAAACAGAAA